UACGGAGGGGGCUAGCGUUGUUCGGAAUUACUGGGCGUAAAGCGCACGUAGGCGGCUUUGUAAGUUGGAGGUGAAAGCCCGGGGCUCAACUCCGGAAUUGCCCUUAAGACUGCAUCGCUAGAAUUGUGGAGAGGUAAGUGGAAUUCCGAGUGUAGAGGUGAAAUUCGUAGAUAUUCGGAAGAACACCAGUGGCGAAGGCGACUUACUGGACACAUAUUGACGCUGAGGUGCGAAAGCGUGGGGAGCAAACAGG
rnacentral:rRNA from 1 species